rnacentral:rRNA from 1 species
AAUCCAUAGGUUAAUGAGGCGAACCGGGGGAACUGAAACAUCUAAGUACCCCGAGGAAAAGAAAUCAACCGAGAUUCCCCCAGUAGCGGCGAGCGAACGGGGAGGAGCCCAGAGCCUGAAUCAGCAUGUGUGUUAGUGGAAGCGUCUGGAAAGGCGCGCGAUACAGGGUGACAGCCCCGUACACAAAAGCGCAUGUGCUGUGAGCUCGAUGAGUAGGGCGGGACACGUGGUAUCCUGUCUGAAUAUGGGGGGACCAUCCUCCAAGGCUAAAUACUCCUGACUGACCGAUAGUGAACCAGUACCGUGAGGGAAAGGCGAAAAGAACCCCGGCGAGGGGAGUGAAAAAGAACCUGAAACCGUGUACGUACAAGCAGUGGGAGCCCCACCACCAAAGCAUUUGCUGUACCGCGUUGACGGAGCGAAGCGACGUCAAACCGAUAAAACAGCAGUGUAAAGUGAGCCGCAGGGCGCUUUGCGCGACAGCGCAAAGGCAGGCGGUUUCGCGUAGCGAAAGCGAAUGCUUUGGGGUGGGGUGACUGCGUACCUUUUGUAUAAUGGGUCAGCGACUUAUAUUCUGUAGCAAGGUUAACCGAAUAGGGGAGCCGGAGGGAAACCGAGUCUUAAUUGGGCGUUAAGUUGCAGGGUAUAGACCCGAAACCCGGUGAUCUAGCCAUGGGCAGGUUGAAGGGUGGGUAACACUAACUGGAGGACCGAACCGACUAAUGUUGAAAAAUUAGCGGAUGACCUGUGGCUGGGGGUGAAAGGCCAAUCAAACCGGGAGAUAGCUGGUUCUCCCCGAAAGCUAUUUAGGUAGCGCCUCGUGAAUUCAUCUCCGGGGGUAGAGCACUGUUUCGGCUAGGGGGCCAUCCCGGCUUACCAACCCGAUGCAAACUGCGAAUACCGGAGAAUGUUAUCACGGGAGACACACGGCGGGUGCUAACGUCCGUCGUGAAGAGGGAAACAACCCAGACCGCCAGCUAAGGUCCCAAAGUCAUGGUUAAGUGGGAAACGAUGUGGGAAGGCCCAGACAGCCAGGAUGUUGGCUUAGAAGCAGCCAUCAUUUAAAGAAAGCGUAAUAGCUCACUGGUCGAGUCGGCCUGCGCGGAAGAUGUAACGGGGCUAAACCAUGCACCGAAGCUGCGGCAGCGACACUGUGUGUUGUUGGGUAGGGGAGCGUUCUGUAAGCCUGUGAAGGUGUGUCGUGAGGCAUGCUGGAGGUAUCAGAAGUGCGAAUG